rnacentral:rRNA from 1 species
AUAAGUCAGGGGUGAAAGUCGGUUGCUCAACAAUCGAAUUGCCUUUGAAACUGUGUGGCUCGAGUAUAGAUGAGGUAGNCGGAAUGUGUAGUGUAGCGGUGAAAUGCAUAGAUAUUACACAGAACCCCAAUUGCGAAGGCAGCUUACCAAACUAUUACUGACGCUGAAGCACGAAAGCGUGGGUAGCGAACAGGAUUAGAUACCCUGGUAGUCCACGCCGUAAACUAUGCUCACUCGCUGUUGGCAAUAGAUCGUCAGCGGCUAAGGGAAACCGAUAAGUGAGCCACCUGGGGAGUACGAUCGCAAGAUUGAAACUCAAAGGAAUUGACGGGGGCCCGCACAAGCGGAGGAACAUGUGGUUUAAUUCGAUGAUACGCGAGGAACCUUACCUGGGCUUAAAUGUAGAGUGCAUAAAGUGGAAACAUUUUUUUCCUUCGGGACUCUUUACAAGGUGCUGCAUGGUUGUCGUCAGCUCGUGCCGUGAGGUGUCGGGUUAAGUCCCAUAACGAGCGCAACCCCUAUCGUUAGUUACCAGCACGUAGUGGUGGGGACUCUAGCGAAACUGCCGGUGUAAACCGUGAGGAAGGUGGGGAUGACGUCAAAUCAGCACGGCCCUUAUGUCCAGGGCUACACACGUGUUACAAUGGUCGGUACAGUGGGCAGCCACAUAGCAAUAUGGAGCUAAUCUCAAAAGCCGAUCUCAGUUCGGAUUGGAGUCUGCAACCCGACUCCAUGAAGGUGGAUUCGCUAGUAAUCGCGCAUCAGCCAUGGCGCGGUGAUACGUUCCCGGGCAUUGUACACACCGCCCGUCAAGCCAUGGAAGUUUGGGGUGCACUGAAGUUCGUAACCACGCAAGGAGCGACACUAGGGGUAAAACCAAAUGANCUGGGGCUAAGUUCGUAANCCAGUAACC